AACGGCCGUACCAUGCUGAAUAUACCGGUUCUCGUUAGAUCACCGAAGUUAAGCAUCAUUGGGCGCGGUCAGUACUUGGGUGGGUGACCACCUGGGCG
rnacentral:rRNA from 1 species